ACUGCUCAGUAACACGUGGACAACCUGCCCUUAGGUUGGGUAUAAACCCGGGAAACUGGGUAUAAUACCCGAUAGGUCUCGAUUGCUGGAAUGCAUCGAGAUUUAAAGCUCCGGCGCCUAAGGAUGGGUCUGCGGCCUAUCAGGUAGUAGUGGGUGUAGCGUACCUACUAGCCUACGACGGGUACGGGUUGUGAGAGCAAGAGCCCGGAGAUGGAUUCUGAGACACGAAUCCAGGCCCUACGGGGUGCAGCAGGCGCGAAAACUUUACAAUGCUGGCAACAGCGAUAAGGGAACCUCGAGUGCCAGGUUACAAAUCUGGCUGUCGAGAUGCCUAAAAAGCAUUUCAUAGCAAGGGCCGGGCAAGACCGGUGCCAGCCGCCGCGGUAACACCGGCGGCUCGAGUGGUAACCGUUAUUAUUGGGUCUAAAGGGUCUGUAGCCGGCCGGAUAAGUCUCUUGAGAAAUCUGGCAGCUUAACUGUCAGGCUUUCAGGAGAUACUGUCUGGCUCGAGGCCGGGAGAGGUGAGAGGUACUUCAGGGGUAGGGGUGAAAUCUUGUAAUCCUUGAAGGACCACCAGUGGCGAAGGCGUCUCACCAGAACGGACCUGACGGCAAGGGACGAAAGCUAGGGGCACGAACCGGAUUAGAUACCCGGGUAGUCCUAGCCGUAAACGAUACUCGCUAGGUGUCGGCCACGGUGCGACCGUUGUCGGUGCCGUAGUGAAGCCGUGAAGCGAGCCACCUGGGAAGUACGGCCGCAAGGCUGGAAACUUAAAGGAAUUGGCGGGGGAGCAC
rnacentral:rRNA from 1 species